UCAUGUGAUGCUGUAAGGGUGGAGCUUAAUCAACCUUUCUGAUGUUAACAUAUUAGAGUACAGAAAGAGCUUAGAAAUUUUUUAUCCAGCUAAGACCAUUCAUCAUGUUCACUGUUAUAUUCUUGUGUUUGUGGUUUUCACUAGAUGACUCCAUGGCAGAUCCAAUAGAGCCACUUGACACUCAUAAAGCUGUAGAUGAAGGUGAUAAUCUUACUCUGUCCUGCAGCUACAAAAAAUUCACUGGUGUAGUAACCACCCUGCAAUGGUACAGGCAAUAUCCAAAAUCAAAACCUGAGUUCCUUCUUCAAAUUUUACCAAGUGAACGUAAAAGUAACACUGGCCCACCACGUCUGUCUGCUGAAGUUGAUCAAAAUAAUAAAGAAGUGGAUCUGCUCAUCUCCUCUGCUGCUGUAUCAGACUCUGCACUAUACUACUGUGCUCUGCAGCCCACAGUGACAGGAAAUUCAACUGCACUGUACAAAAACCUCGACCCAGUUAUGUUUACACCUGUGGCAAAUGAAAGUCACUUCACUAACUGCUCAGCAGGAAGCGAGCGGACCAAAACAAAGUCAUGUGACUCACCCGAAGACGAGCCACUGUGCCAUCUGCUGGCCGUGGCGUAACA